GGCCCGGUAGCACAGCGGUAGUGCAUUUGCAUAUAAUCCACAUGUAUUGUUCCAAGUAUGCAGACGAUGCUGGUUCGACUCUGGCCUGGGCCU